ACCAGAGUCCGUCAUAUACAUGCAUUGACAUUUCCUCGCCUUUUUAAAUAUUAUGGUAAAAAGGUGUUGUAAUGACACUUGUAAUUCGGAUACAAGGUAGCCAGACCGGCGUGGAAUUCGUUCCAUUUCCGAAACAAGCGAGAAAAAUGCAAUCGCUGGAUCAGACUCUGUGGAAGACAUCACCAACAGUUGAACUUCGAAAUUUUGAAAGAUCGUUCAAAGGCGAAACAUCUAUACGUCUGUAAAAAACACUUUGUCGACGGGAAACCCAGUCAAGUAAACCCUGACCCUCAAGCAGCUACUGUAUUGUUUGGUGUAUUUGACAAGCUUACACCGGGACCGGCCCACAUCAGCAAGACCUCAUCCAAAAAUCAGAUUUAUAUCUGAACCACCCCAAAAAAACAAGAACAGAACGGACUGAAGCUAACACCAUAGGUACAUCCUUCCAAGAAUCCAACAACACAACAUGCUGAACAACUUCAAGGACUCUCUUCAAAUGACCACUUUCCUGAAAUAAAUAAAAGAUGCCACUAUUAAAAUAAAUCAGUUACAUGUCUUGUUAAAUAUUUUAAUUCUGGCUGUAAAUGCUACUGCAUUUGAUGUUUGCUUUCUACAUGUAUAUAAUAAUGAAAUAUUGACAAGAAAAUAGCUAACUGUA